rnacentral:rRNA from 1 species
AUACGGAGGGUGCGAACGUUAAUCGGAAUUACUGGGCGUAAAGCGCACGUAGGCGGUUUGUUAAGUGGGAUGUGAAAGCCCCGGGCUCAACCUGGGAAUUGCAUUCCAAACUGGCAGACUAGAGUGCAGUAGAGGGAGGUAGAAUUUCCUGUGUAGCGGUGAAAUGCGUAGAUAUAGGAAGGAAUACCAGUGGCGAAGGCGGCCUCCUGGACUGACACUGACGCUGAGGUGCGAAAGCGUGGGGAGCAAACAGGAUUAGAAACCCCGGUAGUCC